rnacentral:rRNA from 1 species
GACGAACGCUGGCGGCGUGCUUAACACAUGCAAGUCGAACGAUGAAACCUAGCUUGCUAGGUCGAUUAGUGGCGAACGGGUGAGUAACACGUGACUAACCUGCCCCUUUCUCUGGGAUAACGCUCCGAAAGGAGUGCUAAUACCGGAUACUCACAUCGAGGCACAUGCCUUGGGGUGGAAAGUUUUUCGGAAAGGGAUGGAGUCGCGGCCUAUCAGCUUGGUGGUGAGGUAACGGCUCACCAAGGCGACGACGGGUAGCCGGCCUGAGAGGGCGACCGGCCACACGGGGACUGAGACACGGCCCAGACUCCUACGGGAGGCAGCAGUGGGGAAUAUUGCACAAUGGGCGCAAGCCUGAUGCAGCGACGCCGCGUGAGGGAUGAAGGUCUUCGGAUUGUAAACCUCUUUCAGUAGGGACGAAGCGAAAGUGACGGUACCUAAAGAAGAAGCACCGGCUAACUACGUGCCAGCAGCCGCCGUAA